ensembl:lncRNA
CGUGGAUAAAGUGACCGGGAAGUGACAUUGGUGUUGGCACCAGAUUCAUGGUCAUUCAAUAUGAAUUGAUCAAUAGUACUUGGAGCACCUUGUUAUUGUUUAAUUGUACUACCAUAGUACAUUUUGUAACGGUACUAAAUGUUAAUAAGAGUCAUAACAAUUUGAUGGCAGCUGAUGACAAAUAACACGGCCCUGUAAAAACUAAAUUGCCAUAAACAUUUAUGACAGAUGUUGGUGACAGUUACUGUCAGUUACUAAAUUAUGCUGAUGUAUUAGCUGGAGUACAGUGGGAGCUUUGUUAUCAGUCACACUGACAGACCACAGGUGUCAAAACACCAUCCGUCAGAUGACAAGAAAUCAGCCAUUGACUAAUUAAAACCUCACUGAAAUGGGGAUAAUGAUAAAAAGUAGAGGCCAAACAACUUGAGUUUCAGUAAACACAUUUGUAUAAAAUAAAAAUAAAAAGUUUCAUGAAAAGCUUUCUCACAUGCGGAAUUAACCGCACACGCAAAUAAGACCCGGACACACUUUCUCAAGAUUACAUUUGACAUAAUAACAAAGUAUUCGGUUAACCGAGGCUGUGUGAAAACUGCCCCAGGCCUACUCCCUUCUUCACAUAGGCGAACAGUGGGUGUCCACCGAAUGUGCAUCGGUGGUCGGUCUCGUCGGACAAACUUGCGCCGUUUCCUGAGUUAGGUUCCAGAAUAUCCAAAUCCUGAGGCGAAAAGGGAGGCUGGGAAAGCCACCCGGCACUCUGAGAGAAAACGGAACGUGGUCACGUGUACGUGGUUCACGUUACGGGAGAACCACUUCCCUGAUAAGUUUCAGCCUUGAGGUAUGCAUAUGGAUGACGUAUCUGAAAUCAAGCCCACCUGAUGGCAAUCUCGGUCCUCCACCGUUCGCUGGGUCCUGGCCAGCACAGCGCUGGUAUCUCGCCGCAGGGCGUGGAGGUCUGACAGACUGGCGGGCAGGGAGGGUGUUGAGACUGUGGCUUCACUCCACCGUUUCUCGGUAUCAAUCUCACCUACACGGGUGUCUGUUUCUCUGAAGUAAACCUGGGGAAGCGUGUCACUCACGUUGCCUUUGUCUUCACGGUCUGUCUGCCGCUGGGCCCCAGACAGAGAACAGCAGAUCAACGUCCACAGGACCCCUGCGUCACAUACAGCAGAAUGCUUCUUCAGCUACUGACCGCGGUCAGCAUGCAGGGACUCUGACCCACCUCUAGGAGGGGCCUGAUUGGGAAGAGACACGGGCUACCCUCUAGAGACAUGUCUCUCCUCCUCUAGCCCCCGGGCGAUGCUUGGCCAAUCACACACUACCAAUUGGAGCCUGCCGGUGCCGACCGGUUGUGACCCCCUGGCACUGACGCAGGGAUUGUAGUAGCAGGAUAUUUUAGCACUCAUCCACAGCUCAUCCACACCUCAUCUGACAGCAAAUGCUUUAGGUAUGGCCUGGACGGGACGCCUGAAUACAAAAAACUGUUCUGUCCAACAGACUCCUGUUUUUCACGAUAUGUGAAAACUCCCUCAGAAACAAGACUCCCAGUGCAUCACCCUUCGCCUCUAUAGACCAUGAGUCAAGGGCGAGACGUUGCCUAUCGGCCUCACAACCCACAGGACUCUGCCCGGGGAAUUACCACAACGGGACUGGGCGUAUCAUUACAACCGAUGAGUCCAAGUAGGUUGUUUCCCCUCGCUUAAAUGGUUCCUCAUCGUGCCCCUUUGAAAGGGCAUGAUUAAAUUAAUCGUUAAUGCCACAACAUGAAUCAACCACUGAGCGGGAUGGAGAGAAACCGAGGGAACGGGAGAGAAAGACAAGAGAACGUAAGCGGACGAAAGAAUGAGAAAGAAAAGAGGGAGGGCCGUUCUGUCAAUCAAAGAAGAGGCUUUCCGCUGUAAUAAUUAGCCCGCCGUGCUCUCCCGAUCGUUUUCCCGGAGUGCCUCGGUUUCCGUCUCCUCCGUGGCGGAGAUUACCCGCAGCUUGAGCGACGGACACGCCCACCUUUCACUUGACUUUGGGUCGUUAUGUUUUAAUGACCUGCUCAACGGGCGGGCGCCAACGAUUUAUAACGAGGUAAAGCACACAAGUGUUUUGAGGAAUAUUUUUUUGGGUGCGGGGUGGAGAGAAAAGAUAGAGGGCUCUUUGUUUUCGAUCACAGAGGAGGCUUCCCGCUAUAAUAACUUAAACAGCAUCUUUCUUCUGUCUUUGUUCUGAAGUUUGUUUUCUGUCAGGCUG